UGGGGAAUAUUGGACAAUGGGCGCAAGCCUGAUCCAGCCAUGCCGCGUGAGUGCUGAAGGCCCUAGGGUUGUAAAGCUCUUUCACCGGUGAAGAUAAUGACGGUAACCGGAGAAGAAGCCCCGGCUAACUUCGUGCCAGCAGCCGCGGUAAUACGAAGGGGGCUAGCGUUGUUCGGAUUUACUGGGCGUAAAGCGAACGUAAGCGGACUAUUAAGUCAGGGGUGAAAUCCCGGGGCUCAACCCCGGAACUGCCUUUGAUACUGGUAGUCUUGAGUUCGAGAGAGGUGAGUGGAAUGCCGAGUGUAGAGGUGAAAUUCGUAGAUAUUCGGAGGAACACCAGUGGCGAAGGAGGCUCACUGGCUCGAUACAAACGAUAAGGUGCUAAAGCGUGGAUAGCAAACAGG
rnacentral:rRNA from 1 species